AAAAAUUAUCAAUUAUAUCUGUUUAAAAGAUAUUUAAAAUAUAUUGGGAUGAAAAUAGCAUUCUGAACUAAAUUGGAUGGAGCUUACAAACAAACCUAUGCCGAGAGCUACAGCCUCAGUAAAUCAUUAUUAGCUACACUUCUAGUAAAGAGCUUAAGGAUCAUAAUAAGAUUAUAGAGGGUCUCAUUUAAUAUUCUUUAUAAUUAUUUUUACUGUACCCGAAUAACUCACAACCAGAUUCCGUUCCUUAGUUUAGUUGGAAG